rnacentral:lncRNA from 10 species
AAAGGUUAAGUCUCUUUAUUCAGAUCCCACAGAGAGUAGGUGGCAGAGCGGGGACGUGGAGUCUAGAGAUUUGGCAGAAAAAGAGUGGAAACCUCAGUCAUUCUGAGGGACCAGACGGGGGUGCAGGCUGAAAGCUGAGCCUGGGAGGGGCUGGGGGGCCACCCUGAGGGGUCUCUUCCCCGGGGUCUUGUCUCCCUCUGGGGUGGGCUCUGUCCCACUCCUUCCUCUGCUGGCUCAGGAGUCUGGGGGCUCCGCCUCCUUUCCACAGCUGCCGCCUGCCAGCCUCCUCCCUACUCUGGGCUGGGGGCACGGCCUGCCUCUGUCUCCAGCCCUCCGGGGAGGACGUGGGGCCCCGUUCCCCUAACCGCUCUCAGAAGCUUCCACGCGGGCCCCUUCUGGACACUUUGCUUCACAGACACAGACAGGGCAGCGGCAGAACUUGCAGAUCACAAGGUUCUGUUUUCACCCAGUCUCUGUGCUGCCAGGCCACAGGUCCUCAGGAAUGCCUGUGAGGCACAUCUGUCUCCAGGGCCUCCUGUGAGUGUCUCCUGUCCUUCAGGCAUCUCCUCACCUUGGAGAAGAGACAUUUGUGUCCCUCAUCCUCCAAAACGAAACCCCUUACUGCUGGCCAUCCUGAUAGUUCAGUCAGUAAGACAUAAAAUCCAAUUAGAAAUGGCUCAACCCAAAAAGGGAAUCUGUUGACUCAGGCAACUGAAAGGUGGGGCUUCAGGCAUGGCUUGAUCUAGGGGAUAGUCCAGCCCCUGCCUGCUCUCAGGUUAGAUGUACCUUGACUGUCAGGAUCCUUGCAGGAAAUUGAUGGUGCCCUCACGUGGACACAGGCAGAAUCCAGGAGACCUGGUGGACACUGGGCAUCCAGGAAGUGAAUUCAGGAGAUUUGGCAGACACUGGGCAUCCAGGAAGUGGAUCCAGGAGACCUAGCAGACACUGGGCAUUCAGGAAGUGAAUCCAGGAGACCUGGAGGACACUGGGCAUCCAGGCAGGGACCACAGUGAAUCCAGGAGACCUGGCGGACACUGGGCAUCCAGGAAUUGGAUCCAGGAGACCCAGUGGACACUGGGCAUCCAGGCAGUGACCACGGUGAAUCCAGGAGACCCGGCGGACACUGGGCAUCCAGGAAUUGGAUCCAGGAAGUGACCGCACUGGGAUGUUCUUCUCCCCACGGCCUGAAGGGACAGGGGUGAGAAUCACAGGCGCCCAGCAAGAGCUGGAGCUGCAGAGAGAGGACAGGGGGUAGGGACAGUAACUCUGGAGAGAAGAAACCACUGCCAAGACUGUGGGGAGGGGACAGGGGAUGCCCCUCACUCCUUCCACCCUCCAGACUCCGGGGCUGCCUCCCAGAACUGAACCCAACAGAAGCCGGAGGGUGCAGGAGCCUGGCAGGAAGCCCACAGCGGUCGCACAGGGGACAGCAUGGGGCUGGGCAGAGCAGAGCCUGUGCUCGGGGAGGGGAGAUCCCAGGGAGGAACCGGCCCAGCUCUGUCCUCACGCUCCAAGUCUGACAGCUGCAGCCAGCCGUCCCCACUGAGGACUUUGGACCGUCCCAGCAACCAUGCAAGCAAAAGUCUCAGGCGACUUUCAUUGGCCCAUAGUGGGUCACGUGCUUAUCUGGGACCCAGUCACAGCC